rnacentral:rRNA from 1 species
GAGUUUGAUCCUGGCUCAGGAUGAACGCUAGCGGCAGGCUUAAUACAUGCAAGUCGAGGGGCAGCAGCUUUAUAGCAAUAUAGAGGCUGGCGACCGGCAAACGGGUGCGGAACACGUACACAACCUUCCUUGAAUAGGGGGAUAGCCCAUAGAAAUGUGGAUUAAUACCCCGUAAUAUAGCGGUGUGGCAUCACACUGUUAUUAUAGUUUCGGCGAUUCGAGAUGGGUGUGCGGCUGAUUAGGUAGUUGGCGGGGUAAAGGCCCACCAAGCCUUCGAUCAGUAGCUGAUGUGAGAGCAUGAUCAGCCACACGGGCACUGAGACACGGGCCCGACUCCUACGGGAGGCAGCAGUAAGGAAUAUUGGUCAAUGGACGCAAGUCUGAACCAGCCAUGCCGCGUGAAGAAUGAAGGUCCUCUGGAUUGUAAACUUCUUUUAUAGGGGGCGAAAAAAGGUCUUUCUAGAUCACUUGACAGUACCCUAUGAAUAAGCACCGGCUAACUCCGUGCCAGCAGCCGCGGUAAUACGGAGGGUGCAAGCGUUAUCCGGAUUCACUGGGUUUAAAGGGUGCGUAGGCGGGUAGGUAAGUCAGAGGUGAAAUCCUGGAGCUUAACUCCMAGAACUGCCUUUUGAUACUAUCUAUCUUGAAUAUGGUGGAGGUAAGCGGAAUAUGUCAUGUAGCGSUGAAAAUGCAUAKAUAUGACAUASAACMCYUAUUGCGAAGCAGCUUUACUACCCUAUAUUGACGCUGAAGCACGAAAGCUGGGGUYAAYCRGGAUU